rnacentral:rRNA from 1 species
CCUACGGGAGACAGCAGUGAGGAAUAUUGGUCAAUGGGCGCGAGCCUGAACCAGCCAAGUAGCGUGAAGGAUGACUGCCCUACGGGUUGUAAACUUCUUUUAUAAAGGAAUAAAGUGAGGCACGUGUGCCUUUCUGUAUGUACUUUAUGAAUAAGGUUCGGCUAACUCCGUGCCAGCAGCCGCGGUAAUACGGAGGGUCCGAGCGUUAUCCGGAUUUAUUGGGUUUAAGGGGAGCGUAGAUGGGUUGUUAAGUCAGUUGUGAAAGUUUGCGGCUCAACCGUGAAAUUGCAAUUGAUACUGGCAGUCUUGAGUGCGGAUGAGGUAGGCGGAAUUCGUGGUGUAGCGGUGAAAUGCUUAGAUAUCACGAAGAACUCCGAUUGCGAAGGCAGCUUACUAAGCUGCCACUGACGUUGAUGCUCGAAAGUGUGGGUAUCAAACAGGAUUAGAUACCCCAGUAGUC